GACGAACGCUGGCGGCGUGCUUAACACAUGCAAGUCGAGCGGUAAGGCCCUUCGGGGUACACGAGCGGCGAACGGGUGAGUAACACGUGGGUGACCUGCCUCUAGCUCUGGGAUAAGCCUGGGAAACUGGGUCUAAUACCGGAUAUGACUCCACGGCGCAUGUUGUGGGGUGAAAGCCUUGUGUGGCUAGAGAUGGGCCCGCGGCCUAUCAGCUUGUUGGUGGGGNAUGGCCUACCAAGGCGACGACGGUAGCCGGCCUGAGAGGCGACCGGCCACACUGGGACUGAGACACGGCCCAGACUCCUACGGGAGGCAGCAGUGGGGAAUCUUGCGC
rnacentral:rRNA from 1 species